GUCUUACUCCCUCCGUUCCAAAUUACUCGUCGCAGAAAUGGAUGUAUUUAGAACUAAAAUACAUCUAGAUACAUCCAUACCUACGAUAAGUAAUUCGGAACGGAGAGAGUACAUU
rfam:Triticum urartu cultivar G1812 contig38610, whole genome shotgun sequence.